AACGCACCUUGCGCCCUUUGGUAUUCCGAUGGGCAUGCCUGUUUGAGUGUCUUGAAAUCAUCAAACCCCCGGUUUUGCGAUCGCGGGGCUUGGACUUGGGGGCUCUGCUGCCGCGAGGCGGCUCCCCUUAAAUGCAUCGGUCGGGCCUACUGGGGCUCCGUCACCUGGGCGUUGUAUUACCCUCGCUCUGCCGACGUGCCUCAGCUUUUGCGCGCCCGACCCCGACCUGCCUCUGGAGCGGCGGUCAACACUCUUUGAGAUCUGACCUCAAAUCAGGUAGGACUACCCGCUGAACUUAA
rnacentral:misc_RNA from 1 species